rnacentral:rRNA from 1 species
CAGUAGCCACGGGAAUACGUAGGGUGCAAGCGUUAAUCGGAAUUACUGGGCGUAAAGCGUGCGCAGGCGGUUUGUUAAGACAGAUGUGAAAUCCCCGGGCUCAACCUGGGAACUGCAUUUGUGACUGGCAAGCUAGAGUCUGGCAGAGGGGGGUGGAAUUCCGCGUGUAGCAGUGAAAUGCGUAGAUAUGCGGAGGAACACCGAUGGCGAAGGCAGCCCCCUGGGCCAACACUGACGCUCAUGCACGAAAGCGUGGGGAGCAAACAGGAUUAGAUACCCCUGUAGUCCCUGUCUCUUAUAU